CUGGUAUUCCCUCCGUCCGAAAAUACUUGUCCUAAAAAUGAAUAAAAUGGAUGUAUCUAGAAUUAAAAUAAGUCUAGAUACAAGCAUUUCGAGGAUAAGUAUUUUCAGACGGAGGGAGUAUAUG
rfam:Triticum aestivum genome assembly, contig: Triticum_aestivum_CS42_TGACv1_scaffold_002590_1AL